AGAGUUUGAUCAUGGCUCAGAUUGAACGCUGGCGGAAUGCUUUACACAUGCAAGUCGAACGGCAGCACGGACUUCGGUCUGGUGGCGAGUGGCGAACGGGUGAGUAAUACAUCGGAACGUGCCCAGUCGUGGGGGAUAACGUAGCGAAAGCUACGCUAAUACCGCAUACGAUCUAAGGAUGAAAGCGGGGGAUCGCAAGACCUCGCGCGAUUGGAGCGGCCGAUGGCAGAUUAGGUAGUUGGUGGGGUAAAGGCUCACCAAGCCGACGAUCUGUAGCUGGUCUGAGAGGACGACCAGCCACACUGGGACUGAGACACGGCCCAGACUCCUACGGGAGGCAGCAGUGGGGAAUUUUGGACAAUGGGCGCAAGCCUGAUCCAGCCAUUCCGCGUGCAGGAUGAAGGCCCUCGGGUUGUAAACUGCUUUUGUACAGAACGAAAAGGCUCUGGUUAAUACCUGGGGCUCAUGACGGUACUGUAAGAAUAAGCACCGGCUAACUACGUGCCAGCAGCCGCGGUAAU
rnacentral:rRNA from 1 species